rnacentral:rRNA from 1 species
UACGAAGGGGGCUAGCGUUGUUCGGAAUUACUGGGCGUAAAGGGCGCGUAGGCUGUGCUGUAAGUCAGGCGUGAAAGCCCCGGGCUCAACCUGGGAACCGCGCUUGAGACUGGCACGCUGGAGUCCGGGAGAGGAUGGUGGAAUUCCCAGUGUAGAGGUGAAAUUCGUAGAUAUUGGGAAGAACACCGAUGGCGAAGGCAGCCAUCUGGACCGGCACUGACGCUGAGGCGCGAAAGCGUGGGGAGCAAACAGG